GAUGAACGCUGGCGGCGUGCCUAAUACAUGCAAGUCGAACGCUUCACAUAUGUGAAGAGUGGCGAACGGGUGAGUAAUACAUAAGUAACCUGGCCUUUACAGGGGGAUAACUAUUGGAAACGAUAGCUAAGACCGCAUAGGUGUGCAGAUCGCAUGAAGUGCACAUGAAAUAUGCCACGGCAUAGGUAGAGGAUGGACUUAUGGCGCAUUAGCUAGUUGGAGGGGUAACGGCCCACCAAGGCGACGAUGCGUAGCCGACCUGGGAGGGUGACCGGCAACACGGGGACGGAGACGCGGCCCAUACUCCUACGGGAGGCAGCAGUAGGGAAUUUUCGGCAAUGGGGGAGACCCUGACCGAACAACGCCGCGUGAAGGAAGAAGUAAUUCGUUAUGUAAACUUCUGUCAUAGAGGAAGAACGGUGCGUGUAGGGAAUGACAUGCAAGUGACGGUACUCUAUAAGAAAGCCACGGCUAACUACGUGCCAGCAGCCGCCGUAA
rnacentral:rRNA from 1 species